CACAUUUGUACUCAGUCACUUGUACAGCUAGCUAUGGCUACUUAUCUUCUCCUACUAAUGCUUUGUUUUGGAAUGCAGGAUGCAUUCAGUACUGAAGAAAAGUGCAUUCGAACUCAGUAUGACCUCCAACAGUCUCUGGUUAACCGGAUAGUCAACCUGGAGACAUUAAAUCAAGCAUUCUCCCCUACUAAUCAUCAGGAUAGUAUCUCAUUUUAUGUGUACUACCACUUCUGCUCAUUGAAUCCUGUCAAUAGCAGCCUACCAUCUUGCAGUGCGCUAGAAAAUUGGGUCCACGGUCUGCAUUUAGGAAAGAAGGGAACACUUGACUUCAGUGAACGCUAUAUGUUCAAGUUUCUUUGGAAUGCUUCUCCAAUCAACCUUUUCAUCCGUCCGGAUCUCCUUCAAACUCUCUCCCUGUACAUGUUCCAAGUACAUUUGCCUGAAGCCCAUCUCAUUCUGGACCCUGUUUGUGAUGAUGUACAUGUGAAUGAGUCGUUGACAUUGACUGCACAGAAUGAAAGCAAUGACCUGCUAUACAUUUGUAGGCAUCCAUCUCCAAUUCUCGUGAUGCUGGAAAGUAUCACAGUUAAUCUAAAGAGCUUCUACCUCCACAAGCAGUCAUUCUUUACUCAUGGCACUGGUACUUUGAAUGGCAGGGUUAUCCCAUCUAUUACUUUGAUCCUAGGAUUUAUGUAAACGAUGUUUGUACGCUAAGGCAAGUUAAAGAUUUUGCGAUCAUGAGAUAUGUCUUGGCUGCUGCUAUAAUGUUGACGCAACUGCUGAAUCCAAUUGUUGUUCCUUUAAUUGGUCAACUUGUAUAUGUUCGACUAAGUGGUUUAAGUAAGUGGAAAAUGUUAUUUUUCAAAUGUUUCCUUACUGCAUUUGUUCUACUUGGUUUGAUUGUAUUCAGUAAUAACAUUCAUACAUUAGUAAUCACUGUGAAUGUCACAUCAAGCUUAAAAAGUAUAUGCAACUUUUACAUUUUUGCUGCGAUAUUUGUACUCGGUUAUAAUCCUGUUGUAUUGUUCAUCAUUCUUUGUUGCACUCUCAAGUCCUUACAAAAGUCUCAAUCUUACACUGGAUGGCGAGAUACCUUAAAGAACACCAAGUUGUAUGUAGCAGCCAUCGUUAUUGUUGAGCUAACCGGUAACCUACUAUCUUUCCACCUCUUUUAUAUCUUCUUGGGGCUCGUUGCAGCUCCAGUAGCUACUGGUUUUAAUCUUGGUCUUGCAGCAAAAAUUUUUUUAUUACAAACGUGUGCUUAGUAAUGUUCUUAGUAAUAAACAAGGACAUCAUGAUGUCUUUACUAAUGGAGAUGGUAGCGAAGCUAAGAGGCUAUAUGAGUUUAGAAGGUACUAACACUCCUGGACCAUCAGAAACUUCAAGUAGCACUCCACCAGACACUUCUCCACCAGACCAAGAAAGUACAUUCACUUGUACAUGUAUCUGCACAUAUACACUGAUGAAUAUAAUAGUGCUACUCGUAUGGAUGGCGAUUAUAUCGUACUGUGUAUUUUUCUACAUGAUAACAGUCAACAUGGGUCCAUACACAUCCACAGUUUCUUUGCUUGUCUUUGUUGUCGGUUUUUUCCAGCUAUGCUUUCUGCCAUAUUUCCAAUAUUUCUCGAUAAGACAACUACAUGCUUCAAGAGAAGUAAUCAACAGCAAAACAUACCUAAUAAUCAAGGAAAUUAAUGUACGUAUAAUUAUCAUUGCAAACAAACCACCCUAAAACCAUUUUGACUGUAUAUAUGAUACUUAGCAACUUUUUUUAGAUUUAAUAAGAUUGUUGUGCAGUGUACCUUGUUAAAUUACAACUUGGUUGUGAGAAUGAAAUUAUAUGCGUGUUGUAUACAAACAGAAUUUCUCAUAGACCUAUGCUGCGACUAUGAAUAGUUUAAAGUUAGUUGGUGAAUUCCCUGAUGAUAUCACAAAUGGAGCUUUGCGUCUUGGAUCUGAAUUAUGUUUUGGGUAUUUACUAGAAAUAGACGCUAGCUAUUUAGCUUUCUUUUGACAACCGAAAAUAACAUCAUUAUGACCCCAACUUGUCAACAUACACUAUAUAUACUGAGGGGAACAAUUGCCUGAGGCCAUUAUUUUGAUGCCACAUAAACUUGUGGAGCGUACUUAAAUAUCAUAAUCAUGAGACGAAUCAAGUCCAUAUUACACUACUGUAACAGCUCUUGUGGACACGGAACAGUUGACAUGUUUGUCCCCCACACUUGUUACAAAUUGGGUUAGGAGAGAAAGAAGACCAGACCAGUCAGCUGCUCGUGUGCCAACAUAUUUUGCUAUCCUCAUUCCGAUUUUAUUUUCCGCUCAUUACUGUCCUCAUUGCCGUCCCCUCUUUGCCGUCCUCAUGGACUCUGGCUAUUGUUGUUCCUGUGGUGGUCAUUCUUCUUGUUGUCUGCAUUGUUGGUUACUUUGUUUACCUUCUUUUUCUGUAGUGUAUGUUGUUGUGAUAAACUGCAAGUGCUCCUACAACGCUGUAAGAAGAAAGACCUCGAUUUAAAGUGUUGAGCACAGGUACACACAGUCCAUCCAUGCGUAGUAACAUGCACGGACCGUACUGGUGACCUACAUGGAAUGAUGUGGUGGAUGGAAGCUGGUAGAUGGAUCUGGAAUACAGUCUAUAUAUGCAUUGUACAUGUUCAUGACGUUGUAACGGAUUGGAGUUAUGCUCUCGUCUGAUUUCUUGUUUCCACGCUUUUUUGUGGUUCCCCUGGCCAAUCCUAGCAAUUUUUCACAUUGCAAAUGUUUUUCUAGUCGGAUUCCCUUUCUUUUUCAGUACAGAAGUAUAAAUUUACGUAUUAUGACAUGCAUAAGUGGAACGUCAAGAGGCAGUACAGAAGUUGAAGAAGAGAAGACAGGACUGAUCAGAUAUCUUCUCGAAUAUCUCUGGACUAAUAAUUAUAGAUCUAGUAAUGAGUUAUAUUCUUGAUAUG